GCCUGAGUAGCUCAGUUGGCAGAGCAGCUGAUUUGUAAUCAGCAGGUCAGGAGUUCGAGUCUCCUCUCAGGCUCCA
rnacentral:tRNA from 1 species